rnacentral:tRNA from 1 species
AAAAAUUUAGUUAAAAAAUAACACUUGCUUGUCAAGCAAGAAUUAAUUUAAAGUUAAUUUUUA